GGGCAGGUACCAGAGCGGUCAAAUGGAGCAGACUGUAAAUCUGCCGGCUUCGCCUUCGGAGGUUCGAAUCCUUCCCUGCCCA
rnacentral:tRNA from 1 species